GGAAAAUAUGCAGUCGAUUGAAUUUGUUUGUAUCCAAUUGACGAGGAACCAUGUCAAAAUCUCCGGUAGAAAGCAAUGGCUGAAAACUGAUAUUAUGGUCAGAUAAAUGUUUUGUAAUAUGCACAUCUGCCUUCUGCUUGUCUUCAAGUUCAACUAAGCUACAAAGUGAAUAUUGGUCCGCAGCAUUCUUAGCAACAACAGAAGCUAUCUGUAGAUCCUGCAUAAUUAGAGUCACACAUUCUGUAAGUCGUCCACUUGGAUUAUCAUCUGUAUUUGUUGCUGAUGGUUUGAUGCCAGCUAAACUCUCCUUGGUGGUGUCACUACUUUCUCACAGAAUCUUUUUAUGUGGUAAACUUUCAUCCAUGCAUAUGUCUUUCACAGUUUGAUAGACACCAGUAGCGGCCUUAUCUGCAUAUAGCUCAAUAUUCUGGAUUUCAGCACGAAGAUCAUCUGAUUCAGAUGGCAUAGGUUUAUUCUCAUUUUGGUUUUGAAUCACUGAAAUAUCCUUGCUGAUAUGAUUGGGAAGAGACGAUUCUAUAUCUUGAUAUGGUUUUCUAUCUACUAAUUCUGCAAGAUCAUUUUCCCCUUUCUCUGUAGUUACAGCAUCUAACUUCAACAUGUUCAGCUGUUUCUCACUAUGUUCUGAGAAUUUGGGAGUAAGCUCAUGACUCAGAGAUGUAGG
rnacentral:lncRNA from 1 species